rnacentral:rRNA from 1 species
UUAGAGUUUGAUCCUGGCUCAGAGCGAACGCUGGCGGCGUGCUUAACACAUGCAAGUCGAACGAGGUUUGUAGCAAUACAAAUACUCGUGGCGAACGGGUGCGUAACACGUGGAUAACCUUCCUUCAGGUGGGGAAUAACCCAGUGAAAAUUGGGCUAAUACCGCAUAACAUCGCGAUGGCACAUGCUGUUGCGUUCAAAGCCGCAAGGCGCCAGAAGAGGGAUCCGCGGCCGAUUAGCUUGUUGGCGAGGUAAUGGCUUACCAAGGCUUUGAUCGGUAUCCGGACUGAGAGGUUGGCCGGACACACUGGAACUGAGACACGGUCCAGACUCCUACGGGAGGCAGCAGUGGGGAAUCUUGCACAAUGGACGAAAGUCUGAUGCAGCAACGCCGCGUGGGGGAUGAAGCUUCUCGGAGUGUAAACCCCUUUCGACCUGGACGAAUGCCCGC